AUGCCUGUACAGCCAAGAUGGAUCCCUCCGCCUGAAGGAAUAGCAAAAGUACGAGUCGACGGGGCUGUUUUGAGAGAUGGUAAUUUUGGUUCCUUCAGUGUUGUUUGCAGAAACUCUUCAGGUAUAUACUUGGGCGCUUCAGUUAUCAAGAUCUAUGGAGUGACAGAUCCGGUGACGCUGGAAGCUUUGGCGUGUCGUGAGGCGCUAGCCCUUGCUACUGACCUGGACCUCGCACACCUUCUCGUAGUGAGCGACUGCCAAGGUGUAGUGACUGACAUUAACAACCGCACGGGAGGAAACUACACCAGCACCACCAGGGAGAUCGUUGAAACAUCGACGAGCUCUGAUAGUUGCAUCUUCAUCUUUGAAGGUAGGGCAACCAAUGUUGAGGCACAUAGCCUCGCUAAGCAUGCUUUCGGUUUGGACUUUGGGCACCAUGUGUGGAUGUUAAACCCUCCAAACAUUUCUUGUAUCCCUAUGAACAUUAUUGAGCAAAAAAUAAAGCGUGUUUAG
rnacentral:rRNA from 1 species